UACAGGUCGUCGGUGGGCAGCGUCUCCGGCCGCCCCGCCUUGCGGUCGUUCUCCUCAACCACGGCUUUGAUGUCCGGCCGGUUCAGGGUGGACUGCGCCAGGAACACCAUCGUGGCCUCCCUGACGACCGCGACGAGGUCCCCGUUCCACGGGGACUCGCAUUGCGACAGGAGGUACUCGAACUGCUCCUGGAUGGGCAGCUCCCUCACCCCACCCCCCGACCAGUCCUCGGGCGCCAUGCCGCAGAUGUAGUCGUUCGCGAACGUGUACCAGAGACGCUCCCGUGACUCCUCGUACUCGGCGCACUUGUACACCCGCGACCCGCUCUGGUCGCAGAAGGCGCUCUGCAGCUCGUUCUGCAGCUCGGCCACCAUGCCUAUCGCCACCAGCCCGUGCUGGCCCGUGAACUGGGUCACCACGCUCUUCACCCCGCCCGCCAGCCUGUGCCCCUCCAGCUCGGGGAUGUCCCCCAGGUCACCACCGGCGCCGUCGCCCCUGGCGUGCGCCGCGUCGACGUAGGGAGGCGAGGUCAGCACGCACGACGAGACGAGAACCGCGAGGAGCAGCCUCGCGGCGGUCCUCAU
rnacentral:lncRNA from 1 species